GUCUGUGGCCAUACCACCUUGAACAUGUCUGAUCUUGUCUCAUCUUGGAAGCUAAGCAGGGUAGGGCCUGGCUAGUACUUGGAUGGGAGAAGAAGAGGAGGAAGAGGAGGGGACAAAAG
rnacentral:rRNA from 1 species